GUUGUACUGUUAUACCACUGUCCCAGGUUAGGGGGAGGGUUGGGAUCCCGUUAACAUGUUUAAUCCCGCCACAUUAUUUAUGUAUGUGCCUGUCCCAAGUCAGGAGCCUGUAAUUCAGUGGUCGUCGUUUGUUUAUGUGUUACAUAUUUGUUUUUCGUUCAUUUUUUUACAUAAAUAAGGCUGUUAGUUUUCUUGUUUGAAUUGUUUUACAUUGUCUUAUCGGGGCCUUUUAUAGCUCACUAUGCGGUAUGAGCUUUGCUCAUUAUUGAAGGCCGUACGGUGACCUAUAGUUUUUAAUGUCUGUGUUAUUUUGGUCUUUUGUGGAUAGUUG
rnacentral:lncRNA from 1 species